UACGUAGGGGGCAAGCGUUGUCCGGAAUCAUUGGGCGUAAAGCGCGUGUAGGCGGCUGACUAAGUCCGCUCUGAAAGCCCGGGGCUCAACCCCGGGAGGCGGGUGGAUACUGGUCAGCUCGAGUCCGGAAGAGGAGUGUGGAAUUCCUGGUGUAGCGGUGAAAUGCGCAGAUAUCAGGAAGAACACCCGUGGCGAAGGCGGCUCUCUGGGUACGUGACUGACGCUGAGACGCGAAAGCGUGGGGAGCGAACAGG
rnacentral:rRNA from 1 species